ensembl:lncRNA
GCCCCGCCUCCCUCGGGCGUGAGAUAUAGACUCACUGAGUCUACACACUGCCUGUGGGCCCUGGCCGGAUUCACUGCUCAGCCCAGCUGUCCUCUCACGCCACCAGCAGCACACUCAGUUCUGUGCCACUGACAUCCGCUGGGGCCGCUGGGUGGGGGCUGGGCCAACAUUCCCCCCCUGGGCGCCCCCAUGCUCUCCACGGUCAGGCCUGGGUGGGGUGGGGGGCAGGCAGUGGCCCGGUCCCUCCCCCUGGUGGCCACACUCACUCCCUCCCCUGCAGCAGCUCCAAAACAGAACGAAGAUCUGAGAACAAAUCUUUAUCCUCUGGUGUUAGACUCGAAACCAGCGGCAAACAGUUAGGCACACCGAGCCCUACCCCGAAGCUGGCAGCCUGGAGCCCCUGCCAUCCCCGGUAUGCCCCCAGAGCUCCAGUUUCCUCCUCCCGUCUGUGUUUAUAGAUGAAGCUGGGGCACAGGGACCUCAGUGACCUCCCCGACCUCAGCAGCCGUGGCCAGGACGGUGCACAGCCCAGCUCUCUCCUCAGUCCUGACCCCAAGCUCCAGCCCCACUUCCGGCAGGAAACGAGCAACGAGAACAGGAACCCUGGGCUCCAGACGCCUCCUGAGCCGGUUUAACUCACAGCCUCCCAAGGACAGCAACGCACAGAUCACGUGGACCACAUGUGGCCUCGUCUCCAGACCUUCCUGUGUGCUGGUGAACUCCGUCGGGGACAGGAAGACAAGGCUCCUGCCACUACCCAUCACCUCCUGUGGGAGGACGCGGGGAAGGCACAGCCAGCCAAGUCCAGGUCUGCGGACGCUCCAGGGGGAGCACGACACCCCCGCCCCCAGCACAGGCACAGGCCUGCAUGGCCAGCCCAGGGUGUGAAGACGGGCAUUCGCUCAGUACCAGGAAAAGCACGGUGCAGACAGCUCCACGCCGCCCUUUACAUAGCUGUCUGGCUAUAAACAUGGAAAACAAGGGCUUCCACCCUAAGGGGGGCUGACGAGCCAAUGACAGUGGCCGCUGCCCCUCCAACCCCAGAACACAACUCCAAAACAAGGUGCUGCGUUCUCAGCACCACAGGCUCCUGGGCCCAGGCCCACUCCUCAGCCGUCUGCUCCCAGAUGGCGGGGCCCAGGGGAGCCUUAGCCGCUGGAACCCCCAGGACGUGCUGUGAGACCAGGUCUCCUCCAGCGUCUAGAUCCUUCUCUUCACGAGGGUGAUGUGCUCCUCUCAGGGCCAGACGUGCCACCGAAUUUGGGGCAAUUCGGGAAUGAGAGAGGCGACGAGAUGCACAGAAAUCUGCUGUGUAAGAGCUCUAGUGCGGUUCACAGUGGACCCCAUAGCCCAGAGGUUUAAUAGGGCUUGGCCUAGCCUUCUGGAAGGUCAGAGGUCAACCACCGUCUCAUCUGUUCCCGUGUAGGAGGCGCCCCAGGGGCGGGCUCCGGGGUGAGAUCAGUGUCGUGCCCAAUGGCAGACCCCGGGCCCCCACGCCCCCGCUAGCUCUGCUUGCCUCGGACACACCCCAGUGCCGGCUACAGCCUCGGCGCUCACCUGCUGCUCCCCGCUCUGCAGCCUCCACUCCUGGCAUCCUCAGGCUUCCUCAGCCCCACACGGGAGGCGGCCCCCGGGCUUCUGUCUCUAGCCUUGGCUGCUCUCUGUGGGCCUCUGCUCUCGCCAAAGCCUCCCAUCCUCGCGGCUGAGACCCCCUCC